rnacentral:rRNA from 1 species
GACGAACGCUGGCGGCGUGCUUAACACAUGCAAGUCGAACGGAAAGGCCCUGCUUUUGUGGGGUGCUCGAGUGGCGAACGGGUGAGUAACACGUGAGUAACCUGCCCUUGACUUUGGGAUAACUUCAGGAAACUGGGGCUAAUACCGGAUAGGAGCUCCUGCUGCAUGGUGGGGGUUGGAAAGUUUCGGCGGUUGGGGCUGGACUCGCGGCUUAUCAGCUUGUUGGUUGGGUAGUGGCUUACCAAGGCUUUGACGGGUAGCCGGCCUGCGAGGGUGACCGGCCACAUUGGGACUGAGAUACGGCCCAGACUCCUACGGGAGGCAGCAGUGGGGAAUAGUGCACAAUGGGCUGAAGCCUGAUGCAGCAACGCCGCGUGCGGGAUGACGGCCUUCGGGUUGUAAACCGCUUUCGCCUGUGACGAAGUGUGAGUGACGGUAAUGGGUAAAGAAGCACCGGCUAACUACGUG